CCGACGGUGAGGGGUGAAAGCUGGGGGAGCAAACCGGAUUAGAUACCCGGGUAGUCCCAGCUGUAAACGAUGCAAACUCGAUGAUGCGUUGGCUUAUUGCUAGCGCAGUGUCGCAGGGAAGCCGUUAAGUUUGCCGCCUGGGAAGUACGUACGCAAGUAUGAAACUUAAAGGAAUUGGCGGGGGAGCACCACAAGGGGUGAAGCCUGCGGUUCAAUUGGAGUCAACGCCUGAAACCUUACCCGGAGAGACAGCAGAAUGAAGGUCAAGCUGAAGACUUUACCAGACAAGCUGAGAGGUGGUGCAUGGCCGUCGCCAGCUCGUGCCGUGAGAUGUCCUGUUAAGUCAGGUAACGAGCGAGAUCCCUGCCUCUAGUUGCCACUAUUACACCCUGGUGUAGUAGGGCGAAUUAGGGGGACCGCCGCAGUUAAUGCGGAGGAAGGAAGGGGCCACGGCAGGUCAGUAUGCCCCGAAACUCUGGGGCCACACGCGGGCUGCAAUGGUAACGACAAUUGGUUUCGAAUCCGAAAGGAUGAGGUAAUCCUCAAACGUUACCACAGUUAUGACUGAGGGCUGCAACUCGCCCUCACGAAUAUGGAAUCCCUAGUAACUGCGUGUCAUUAUCGCGCGGUGAAUACGUCCCUGCUCCUUGCACACACCGCCCGU
rnacentral:rRNA from 1 species